GGCAAGUAUGCAUAACAGCCGCAACAUUGAAAGUACUACCCAAUCAUUAAACAAAAUCUGGUGCAUCCUCUGAAGGGAGGGGUCCUGUACAGUGUCUGAAGUCACAGUCCUCGAGUAAGAAAGAACCAGCUCCUGUUUCCAAGUGCUCUAGAGCACCGGCUCUAUUUUGCUGGAGGUUUCGUCUGAAUCACAACCGCUGCACAGGUAUAUCUCAAAGAGUCUUGGAGGUCUAAUUAAUCUUGGUUAAAAGAUGGCUUCCCCAUCUCCCCGUGGUAUUGGAGUGACACUAAGCCAAGCAGCUCAGUAAAUAUUGCAUCCAGGGAGCUGGUUUCCAAGAAAAUAAUGGGUUCAUUAUUUCCUAUGGAAAAUGAAAGCCUUCACCAACAGUGACUGUGCUUGCAACACACACAUCUGCCAACAAAUACCUGGCAUCGGGUAAAACACAUUCUGGGAUCCUGUAUACAGAAAAUACAAGCUUGUCAUGUCCAGAACCAAGAAACAAAGAAAAGAUGCUAUAGUGCCAUCUUGUCUACAGGAGGAAUGGUGUGGUCUCUUCCCCCACAGCAGAUACUGUGCAUGUCUUCUGUCGAGUCCUGUUGCUGUGCAUAUAAUACAAGGGGCAGGGACAGCUUAUAACACAAAGCCACAGACUGAACAUGAUGGUAUUUAGAAUUCUGUAUUUUAUGUACAUAAACAUAAGCUAUGAAUGUAAAUAUGUACUGUGUCCAGGGGCUGGUAAGAAAUAUGAAUACUCCUGAUAAGAACAUAAGAACUUUGAUAAGCAAGAGAGAAGAUGAAAAUGGACCAUUAGUCAUAAACUAAGUACAACUGGUAUAAUUUGUCUCAUUAAAUUUACUUAGUUACCUCAUUUAUCUUUUUUAAGAUGCUUCCAAAAGGCCAGACAAUAUAAAAAAUCUAAGAUGUACAGAUUUAAAAAAAUGAAUAAAACCUACAGUAACAAUGUAAAAUAA